rnacentral:rRNA from 1 species
GUCUACAGCCAUGCUACCCUGAACGUGCCCGAUCCCGUCUGAUCUCAGAAGCUAAGCAGGGUUGGGCCUGGUUAGUACUUGGAUGGAAGACCACCUAGGAAUACCAGGUGCUAUAGGCA